UGCCAGAGCCGCGGUAAUACGUAGGGGGCGAGCGUUGUCCGGAUUUAUUGGGCGUAAAGAGCUCGUAGGCGGCUUGGCAAGUCGGGUGUGAAACCUCCAGGCUCAACCUGGAGACGCCACUCGAUACUGCUAUGGCUAGAGUCCGGUAGGGGACCACGGAAUUCCUGGUGUAGCGGUGAAAUGCGCAGAUAUCAGGAGGAACACCGGUGGCGAAGGCGGUGGUCUGGGCCGGCACUGACGCUGAGGAGCGAAAGCGUGGGUAGCAAACAGG
rnacentral:rRNA from 1 species